AGCUUUACGCAGUGGCAGUAUCGUAGCCAAUGAGGUUUAUCCGAGGCACGAAUAUUGCUAAUUGAAAACUAAAGUGUCUGUCAAAUGGUAGGUACUCAGUAAUGUCUGCAGGCACUUCCUGGGGCUCCUGACUUCUAACAGAGUG
ensembl:snRNA U4 U4 spliceosomal RNA